rnacentral:rRNA from 1 species
CCUACGGGAGGCAGCAGUGGGGGAUAUUGGACAAUGGGGGAAACCCUGAUCCAGCGACGCCGCGUGAGUGAAGAAGUAUUUCGGUAUGUAAAGCUCUAUCAGCAGGGGAGCAAGAAAUGACGGUACCGGAUUAAGAAGCCCCGGCUAACUACGUGCUAGCACCCGGGGUAAUACGUAGGGGGCAAGCGUUGUGCGGAAUUACUGGGUGUAAAGGGAGCGUAAGCGGUAAUGCAAGUCUGGAGUGAAAGGCGGGGGGCCCCCCCCCGGACUGCUGUGGAAACUGUGUAACUGGAGUGCAGGAGAGGGAGGCGGAAUUCCUAGUGUAGCGGUGAAAUGCGUAGAUAUUAGGCGGAACACCAGUGGCGAAGGCGGCAUGCAGGCCCGUAACUGACGUUGAUGCUCGAAAGCGUGGGGAGCGAACAGGAUUAGAUACCCUAGUAGUC